UCUUCUCUUCUUCUUCUUCUUCACUUUUCUUUGUCUUAGUAGAUCUCCGCCGCUCACCUUCUGUCUGCGCUCUUUCUCCUCAAAUCCUAAACUGAGAAAAGUGAUCAUAAUCAAAUAGAUCAAUCUCUUGUUCUUAUGAUUUGUUUCUUCAAAACUUCAUCAUGAUUGCUUCUAAACUUCAUCAUCGAAGAGUAGCAUAUUAAGCGCUGCAUGUUCAUUCUCUCAAAUGGGUUAAAUUAAGGUUAUUUUUUCUCAUUUUUUGAGGAAAAUUAGGGGUUGUGUUGGUUGAGCAGCUGUAUAUGUAUUUAUUCUGAUUUUUUGUGAGAUUUCAACGAUGAUGGUCACUGAGUUGAAAUUUUGAAUAAAAAUGAUUUGUUUCCUCGAUUGUUCAAGUUCUUUAUCUAUUUUUUAUUUUUAAUAGAUUUCUAAGAAUUAUUCUUUUGUUAAUGGUUGUUUUGUGCAAGGAUUUGGUCUUAUUCUCAUCCUAUUGGGUGAGACAUUUGGUAUUGUUUUGGGAUUUGAUUUGAAUUUUUUUUUAACCGUGUUGCUUCUUUUAUCGACUGCCCAAUGAAGAUGAUUUAGGUAAGUGUAAUACGGUUUUCUUGUACAAUUUUUAUCUCUCCUUUUAGGGAUAUCAGUACUACAGUCAGGUGUUCGUCAAAAUGUCUCUAUGAAUGUGAUGUUUUAUUUUUUUUUUCGAUGGGCUGAUUGCGUCUAUAAUCUAGCUUGGUAGAUUUUUAAUGAUGCCAAGGAUGGAUCUAAUUAAUAGAUCUUGAUGCACAGUUAUUUUAAAUUUGUUUUUGGUUGGGAUGGAAUCUUCCAAUCCCCUUCUGUAAUUUUUUAGUUUCUUAAUAACUUUCUUCCUUUUGAUAGAUCUCGUUGUUUUUUAAUUCAGUAGUGGUAAACAAUGUUGUUUCAUGGAUUUUUUUUGUAUGAAUUUCAUUUAUGCACUUGCUGUGAGUUUUGGGUGUUUGUAAACUUGUGAAGUAUAGAUUGUUUUGUUCAUUUUCUGAUUUCAUUUGUAUUUCAUGCGUCCAUAAUUUUUAAUUAUUUGGUUACAUGAAGUUGGUCCAUGUAUGUUGGUACGUUUUUUGAGUCACAAAAUAAUAUUCCCUUGUUCAGUUUUUUUCUUAUUUUUUCGAAUACUGAUUGUUUGGUAUUUGUUGCUUUGGUUCCAUCAUUUGAAAUAACAUCAGCGGCAUGUCUGAAAUUUGGUGUAGAAAUGGCAAGCCAAGCUUCCACCACAGGAGUCAACACAAGGGAUGUCAAAAAUGAGAUCUGUUUUCCUUGUAAUCUGAGUGACGACAUAAGAACUAGAUUGAUGCUUAAGUUUGGAAUUGUCGGUGACAUUUCUUUUACAUCCAUUAACAAGAGGAAAGGAGAGUUUCAAAGACGAUCAAAAUCAGAUUUAGAAAAUAGAUUGAUUGAAUGUUAUCAAGUCGUUGCAGUAUGAAUCUUUUUAGUAUUUUUAUGUAAGUUUGUCCUGUGAACUUUGAAUAAUUCUGAUGUUGUAGUGUUAAAAGUAGAAGUAGUUCGUUUUAAAAUUAAAGUAUGUUGAUGAUGUAAUUGUAAUUUGUUUUGUCAAAGAAACGAGAUUGUAUUUUAUUUAAUUUUUGUAAAACAAAUUGUAGAUCUUUUAAUAUAAAAUUGUAAAUUGAAUCUAGUUAUAAUAAA